UACGGAGGGUGCGAGCGUUGUCCGGAAUCAUUGGGCGUAAAGGGCGCGUAGGUGGCCCGGUCAGUCAGUGGUGAAAGCGCGGGGCUCAACUCCGCGUCGGCCAUUGAUACUGCGGGGCUGGAGCACUGUAGAGGCAGGCGGAAUUCCGGGUGUAGCGGUGGAAUGCGUAGAUAUCGGGAGGAAUACCAGUGGCGAAAGCGGCACCCUAGCAUUUUUCUGACGCUCAUGUGCGAAAGCGUGGGGAGCGAACGGG
rnacentral:rRNA from 1 species